AGUGAACGCUGGCGGCGUGCCUAAUACAUGCAAGUCGAACGGAGUGGCGCACGGGUGAGUAAUGUAUAGCUAAUCCGCCCUACACUAGAGGACAACAGUUGGAAACGACUGCUAAUACUCUAUAGUGUAGGAUGAGGCUAUAUUGUAUCAGCUAGUUGGUGAGGUAAUGGCUCACCAAGGCUAUGACGCAUAACUGGUCUGAGAGGAUGAUCAGUCACACUGGAAAUGAGACACGGUCCAUACACCUACGGGAUGCAGCAGUAGGGCAUAUUGCUCAAUGGGGGACACCCUGAAGCAGCAACGCCGCGUGGGGUAUGACACUUUUCGGAGCGUAGACUCCUGUUGUUAGGGAAGCGGUACCUAACGAAUAAGCACCGGCUAACUCCGUGCCAGCAGCCGCGGUAAUAC
rnacentral:rRNA from 1 species